rnacentral:rRNA from 1 species
AUUAUUUUUUUUUGGUGACUCAUAAUAACUUUACGGAUCACAAUAAUUUAUUUUGUGACAUAUCAUUCAAGUUUCUGACCUAUCAGCUUUAGACGGUAGGGUAUUGGCCUACCGUGGCUAUGACGGGUAACGGGGAAUUAGGGUUCGAUUCCGGAGAGGGAGCCUGAGAAACGGCUACCACAUCUAAGGAAGGCAGCAGGCGCGCAAAUUACCCAAUCCUAAUACAGGGAGGUAGUGACAAGAAAUAACAAUACAGGACUUUACGGUUUUGUAAUUGGAAUGAGUUAAGUAUAAACCCCUUUACAAGUAUCAAUUGGAGGGCAAGUCUGGUGCCAGCAGCCGCGGUAAUUCCAGCUCCAAUAGCGUAUAUUAAAGUUGUUGCAGUUAAAAAGCUCGUAGUUGGAUUUCUGUUAAUACCUUAUAUAUAAUAUUUUUUUUUUAAAUAUUAAUAUGUAAGAUUAACAUAAUUCAUAUUUUUAAGACUGAAUUUUUAGUUUCGAUAAUAUGAAAUUUUACUUUGAGAAAAUUAGAGUGCUUAAAGCAGGCUUUUGCCUUGAAUACUCCAGCAUGGAAUAAUAAUAAAAGAUUUUUAUCUUUUUUUAUUGGUUCUAAGAUAAAAAUAAUGAUUAAUAGGGACAGUUGGGGGCAUUUGUAUUUAACAGUCAGAGGUGAUAUUCUUAGAUUUGUUAAAGACAAACUAAUGCGAAAGCAUUUGCCAAGGAUGUUUUCAUUAAUCAAGAACGAAAGUUAGGGGAUCGAAGACGAUCAGAUACCGUCGUAGUCUUAACCAUAAACUAUGCCAACUAG